rnacentral:rRNA from 1 species
CACGUAGGGCGCAAGCGUUGUCCGGAAUUAUUGGGCGUAAAGAGCUCGUAGGCGGCUCAGUAAGUCAGGUGUGAAAACUCCAGGCUCAACCUGGAGACGCCACCUGAUACUGCUGUGGCUAGAGUCCGGUAGGGGAGCAUGGAAUUCCUGGUGUAGCGGUGAAAUGCGCAGAUAUCAGGAGGAACACCAGUGGCGAAGGCGGUGCUCUGGGCCGGAACUGACGCUGAGGAGCGAAAGCGUGGGGAGCAAACAGG